ensembl:lncRNA
CAGAAGGGUGUCCUCUGACCCCUCUGACCCAGGCCUACCAGAAGGGUGUCCUCUGACCCCUCUGCCCCAGGCCUACCAGAAGGGUGUACUCUGACCCCUCUGCCCCAGGCCUACCAGAAGGGUGUCCUCUGACCCCUCUGACCCAGGCCUACCAGAAGGGUGUCCUCUUUUGUCGAGCGCUUCAGCUGCACCGCAUGUUUUGACUGACGCAGUCCUGAAACAACAACUUGGACUCAAACCGCAGCUGGAGGAUGUAUGCAAAAUCCUUUUUAGGUUUGCUACAUUGUCAAGGCUUGCAGUGUGCUCCACAACAUUACAAUCAAAAGUAGCAGAAAACACCUGCGUCAAUUCCGUGUAAUCUUAUGGGCAAACGGUCCAGCGCUUGUUCAGAAACGUAAAAGCGAACCGGAACUGUGAUUCUGGUGCAACGGGACUGCUAAAAAUGAGCAUUUGUAAGAUUUAACACGUGAAAACCAUUUAGCCGAUGCCGGCACGGCAGAUAGUGCUGUAACGAGGUUUGGCACAACAGGAGCCCUUGCAUAAACAGCAUCAUUAACUGGUCUAAGAUCUUGAACAAACGCAAAUCACCCAAGGCUUUCCGGAUGGGAAGAAUGGGGGUGUUGCAGGGAGAGUCUGGACAAGGCACAAUUGCUCCUCUUUCUACCAAUGAAGCAUGAACAGGGGUAAUCCCCCUCAUCCUGACUCAGAGGAUACUGGGCCCGGCUGGGUCUUUGCUCUUAGGUGGGACAGUCAGCGGUUUCACCCUCCUCUUUCGCCCAAUGUCAUACUUAUCUUUAGCCCACAGAGAGUCUUGGAGACCAGCCAACAAGGGUGACUCAGUCUCCACGGAAACCAUCUGUUUAGUUGGUUUUGCAUUAUCUAAGCCAUGCACACAUCAUUGAACAGGCACAGCCCACACAGAGUAUGUGUGUCAGGGGUGAAUUUAGAUCCAUCCACUCUAACUGUCGCAACUUCCACCGAAGUUGGUUCCUCUCCUUGUUCGGGCGGUGUUCGGCGGUCGGCAUCGCCGGUCCUCUAGCCAUCGUCGAUCCACUUUUCAUUUUCCAUUUGUUUUGUCUUGUUUUCCUACACACCUGGUUCUCAUUUCCCUCAAUAAGUGUUGUGCAUUUAACCCUCUGUUCCCCCCAUGUCUUUGUGUGGUAUUGUUUGUUGUAAGUGCUUGUGCACAUGUUGACUGGUGCACGUUGGGUUUUGUACCCAUGUUGUUAUUUAUUGAUGCCGUUGGUUUUGAAUUUAAACUGCUCCGGCUAUUACCUAGUUCUGCUCUCCUGCGUUUGACUUCACUGCCACCAGUUACGCACCCCUUACACUAACUUCCCAGUCAGUAACCUGCAAGACAGACUUCAACCAGACACCAGUGUCCUUCCAGGCAACAUCAUCUGUCUUAGCUAUUGAAAAAAUGUGGUACCGUGUCGAUUAACCUGUACCUUGGUUAUCUUUACACUAACAUCAUUGGGGCCCACUAUACUAUCACUGCGCAGUAAGCUGUUCUUGGAUUGCGGUUUCUUUCAGCCAAUUUUAUUCAUACUACAAAACUCUCUUCAAUUGUGAAAAACGGGCGGUGCAAUGUAAGUCAGGCAUAAAACUGCCUGUUUGUUAAAAGUUCUUGGUGACGGGGGCAGUAUUGAGUAGCUUGGAUGAAUAAGGUGCCCAGAGUAAACUGCCUGCUACUCUGUCCCAGAUGCUUAUAUAUG